UCCGGAGGGGGCUAGCGUUGUUCGGAAUUACUGGGCGUAAAGCGCACGUAGGCGGCUUUGUAAGUUUGAGGUGAAAGCCCGGGGCUCAACUCCGGAAUUGCCUUUAAGACUGCAUCGCUAGAAUUGUGGAGAGGUAAGUGGAAUUCCGAGUGUAGAGGUGAAAUUCGUAGAUAUUCGGAAGAACACCAGUGGCGAAGGCGACUUACUGGACACAUAUUGACGCUGAGGUGCGAAAGCGUGGGGAGCAAACAGG
rnacentral:rRNA from 1 species